rnacentral:rRNA from 1 species
AGAGUUUGAUCCUGGCUCAGAACGAACGCUGGCGGCGUGGAUAAGACAUGCAAGUCGAGCGAGAUUUUUUCUUGUAGCNNUACGAGGAAAAGUCUAGCGGCGAACGGGUGCUUAACACGUGGGCCCUGCCAUGAAGUGGGGGAUAGCUCGUCGAAAGGCGAAUUAAUACCGCAUGUGAUUAGAGUGGACAUCCAUUCAAAAUUAAAGUCGGGGCAACCUGACGCUUCUUGUGGGGCCCGCGGCCUAUCAGCUAGUUGGUGAGGUAACGGCCCACCAAGGCUUUGACGGGUAGCUGGUCUGAGAGGACGACCAGCCACACUGGGACUGAGACACGGCCAGACACCUACGGGUGGCAGCAGUCGAGAAUUUUUGCAAUGGGGGAACCUGAUCGAGGACGCCGCGUGGAGGAUGAAGGUCUUCGGAUUGUAAACUCCUGUCAUUGGGGAACAAUGCACAGAUAUUAACUGUAUUUGUGUUGAUAGUACCCGAAGAGGAAGGGACGGCUAACUCUGUGCCAGCAGCCGCGGUAAUACAGAGGUCCAAGCGUUGUUCGGAUUCAUUGGGCGUAAAGGGUGCGUAGGCGGCGCGGUAAGUCGGGUGUGAAAUCUCGGGGCUUAACUCCGAAACUGCAUUCGAUACUGCCGUGCUUGAGGACUGGAGAGGAGACUGGAAUUUACGGUGUAGCGGUGAAAUGCGUAGAUAUCGUAAGGAAGACCAGUGGCGAAGGCGGGUCUCUGGACAGUUCCUGACGCUGAGGCACGAAGGUCAGGGGAGCAAACGGGAUUAGAUACCCUAGUAGUCC